CUCAAGUCUCCUACGCUGUUAGAAGUUCCUUCAUUUUAUUCUUAGUGCUUUGUACACUUAAUAAUAGAUGUCGCUCUACAACUUCUUUUUAUAUGUUAUUUUUUAUAUAAAAAACUGUUAAAAUAACUAAUGUGUUUAUAAAUUAAAGUAUUUUUUUUAUGUUCGAAAAAUAUUGAUUCAUAUAUACUAUUCACUUCACAUGAAUUGACUAGAGAGGAAAUUGAGAGAACAAGCGCAAUUUUUUUCAUUUCUAUUAUACUUUAUUUUAUUGUUUUGUAAUUUUUUAUUUUAUUUUAUUUAAUUUUUUGUAAAUUUGUAAGAUCGCUUGAUUCUUUGAUUUUUAUAAAUUCACUUUAAAAAUGAUGGAUUUUAUAUAGUUAAACAUUACAAUAUACGUAUAGAAAACUUUUCUCUGUGUAUACACUAGGGGUAUAAGUGAGGUUAGUGAAACACCAGAAAAAGAUUGAAGAGUUCAUAGACUAUACGUAGAAGGAUAUUCAAAAAGUCCAUGAAACUUAGUAAAGAUACCAAAAAGAAAAAAAGUUCCAGUUUAGAGCUCGGUCGUCAUGUGAUUCGUUAAAGCUUGGACACGUUUUGCGUUACAACUUUUACAUAAAAUGUGACCGUCUAAUGGAUAACAACCUCUACCUUCUGCUUCGGAUGAUAAAACUAAGCCACAAUCCUACAAAAAAAAAAUCAACAUCCAAUUAGUCAGCGGGAAAAAAUAUUUGGUAUACUCACUUCGCAUUUAUAGCACUGUACGUGGAAACUGUGAUCUAGUGCUACUACUCGUACCGUUUCUUCUUCGCCAGGUUCAGGCAUGAUUGGUUGUUUACAAACCCAACAUUUCGGAGCGAAAAUCCUGAGAAGAAAUUUGAAGAAAUAACAAGUAAAUGUGAUUUUUAUAUUAAUUUUUACUCACUUAUGAAAAUCUUCGAUGCAAUGGACUCUAUUGGAAGCAUCGACUGUAAAAGGUAUACCAUCAAGGCUCUUUCCGCAAACAACACAACAGAAACAUUUUGGAUGGUAUGGUUUACCCGUCGCUCUUAAAAUUCUAUCUAAUAUAGGAUUUUGACAAACGCAGCAUUUUUCCAAAGUAUUC